UACGUAGGGGGCAAGCGUUGUCCGGAAUCAUUGGGCGUAAAGAGCGUGUAGGCGGCCCGAUAAGUCCGCUGUGAAAGUCCAGGGCUCAACCCUGGGAUGCCGGUGGAUACUGUCGGGCUCGAGUCCGGAAGAGGAGUGUGGAAUCCUGGUGUAGCGGUGAAAUGCGCAGAUAUCAGGAGGAACACCGAUGGCGAAGGCAGCCCCCUGGGUUAACACUGACGCUCAGGCAC
rnacentral:rRNA from 1 species